GCAGUGAGGAAUAUUGGACAAUGGGUUAGCGCCUGAUCCAGCCAUCCCGCGUGAAGGACGACGGCCCUAUGGGUUGUAAACUUCUUUUGUAUAGGGAUAAACCUUUCCACGUGUGGAAAGCUGAAGGUACUAUACGAAUAAGCACCGGCUAACUCCGUGCCAGCAGCCGCGGUAAUACGGAGGGUGCAAGCGUUAUCCGGAUUUAUUGGGUUUAAAGGGUCCGUAGGCGGACUCGUAAGUCAGUGGUGAAAUCUCAUAGCUCAACUAUGAAACUGCCAUUGAUACUGCGGGUCUUGAGUAAGGUAGAAGUGGCUGGAAUAAGUAGUGUAGCGGUGAAAUGCAUAGAUAUUACUUAGAACACCAAUUGCGAAGGCAGGUCACUAUGUCUUAACUGACGCUGAUGGACGAAAGCGUGGGGAGCGAACAGGAUUAGA
rnacentral:rRNA from 1 species